rnacentral:rRNA from 1 species
CAGUCGCCGCGGUAAUACGUUGGGGGCUAGCGUUAUCCGGAUUUACUGGGCGUAAAGGGUGCGUAGGUGGUCCUUCAAGUCGGUGGUUAAGGGCUACGGCUCAACCGUAGUAAGCCGCCGAAACUGGAGGACUUGAGUGCAGGAGAGGAAAGUGGAAUUCCCAGUGUAGCGGUGAAAUGCGUAGAUAUUGGGAGGAACACCAGUAGCGAAGGCGGCUUUCUGGACUGCAACUGACACUGAGGCACGAAAGCGUGGGUAGCAAACAGGAUUAGAUACCCGCGUAGUCCCUGUCUCUUAUACC